AGUGACUGUACUGAGCCAUGAGCCAAACCAGAUUAGGGUGGGCCAUCAGAGUACGGCCUGGAACUUUAUCUGGAGGGAAGAAGUCAGACACACGGUGGCUAGGAGGCUGUGGGACAAAAGACACUUUGAUUUCUCUCGUCUUCCACAGUAACUUCCUGUUGUUUAACACCACCUGUUUCGGGGUGCUUCAUUAGGGUGGUUCCGGGAAAUGAAUGCCGUAUUCACGUGGCAUUGACAUCAUCCUUCCAAAGGCAAAGGCUGAGUUGUUACCAAGUUUUUGUGAAAACUAACAAUGCGGCAGGCAACAAACAUCUCUGUUCUUGCUUCUGUGUCUUCCCAGGACAGAAACUAAAAAGCGGGAUCAGGAAGUGAGCAAGAACUGGCUGGGGCUGGGCUAUAAAAAAAUCUCAGAGCCCACCCCUAGUGACGUACUUCCUCCAGCAAGGCUCCACCCCCUUGCGCUUAUAAAACCUUCUUACUCCUCGCGGCCAGCCCGGGAUCACAUGUUAAACAUAUGAGUCUAUGAGGGACAUUUUACACUGAACCCACAAGAGCAUCUCUGCCCACAGAGGUGACCCAGCUUCAAUGGGGGCUCUGGCUGUGGGUUUGCUGUUGUCAUCUCCGGUCCCAACACAGUCAGAGAACCAUUAUGACAUCCGUUACGUGGUCUGUUGUCUGUCUCCCAGAGUGUUGCGUCUUUGAGGUUGGAGACUAUAAAGACCCCACGGACGCAGAGGAGUCUGUGUUUGAGGAGAGGGAGGUGGCAUCUCCAUCAGUCUCUUUAUUCGGGUUCUGCCUCUGAGGCUGCUGGUGCCUCUCUGUAUCUUCCCUAGUAAUGGCGCCUCUCUGGAGACAUAAAUGAGAUGCCCCUCCCCUCUCCAGUCAGGCCUCAGAUGUCAGCCACAAGGAUGGAAGAUAAGGCUGGCAGAUCCUUGUGGGACACUGAAGGACAGAAAGAAUGGAGAAGAGUCACCGGAAGGUUGUGAGGAGCUGAGUAGUGAUGCACAGAAGUCAGAUCGUGAGGAAAGUUGGUGGGGAAGGCCAUGGAGGAGAAGGUAAGAGGUGAAGGAUAGAGGCUCACAAAGAUUCAGUCAAGA
rnacentral:lncRNA from 1 species